rnacentral:lncRNA from 1 species
AUGGGGCAAUGGGGGCAGACCCGCUCAGGAUCCCCAAACCAGGGGCUGCCCCGGUGCCCCUUCCACGGGCAAGGGGACAUGGGGCGAUGGGAGCAGCCCCCCAGCGUGUCCCCCCCAGCCCCGGGGGUGGCUCCGGUGCCCCGGAGAAGGUCGGGCUCCCCCCCAGCGCAGUGGCGGGGGGGGGAACGGGGCCCCUCGGCUCCGGCUCCGAGCUGCGGCCAGACCUUUGUCCCCAGCGAGGCAACGACCGUGGGGCCACUCUGGGGGCCGCCCCCGGGCUUCGGGAGGGCCGCGGGGUCCGGGAGGGCUCAGGGGGCUCGGGGGCGGGAGGUGCGGGGUCCCCACCCGGGGGGAUGCGGGGAGCGGGGGGAUGCGGGGUCCGGAGGGGAUGAAGGGUCCGGGGGGGAUCAGGAUAGCGGGGUGUGGAUGUCCCAACCCGGGAGAAGCAGGGUCCGGAGUCCGGGGAGGAUGCGGGGUUCGGGGGGAAGAUCGGGAAGCCCAGGGGAGCGGGGUGCGGGGGUCCCCUCCCGGAGCGAUACGGGGAGCGGGGAGGAUGAGGGGGACAGAGUAGGGAUCAGGGGUCUCCGAAGAGGGGAUUCGGGGAUCCCGGCUCGGGGGGAUGCGCAGUCCGGGGGGAAUGCGGGGUCCGGAGGGGAAAUGGGAGGGCUCAGAGGAGCGGGGUGCGGGGGUCCCCGCCCCGGGGGAUGCGACGAGCGGGGGAGAUCUGGGCCUCAAGGGCUCAGCGGUGGGGGUCUCCGCCCCGGGGAAUGCGGGGAGCAGGGGGGAUGCGGGGUCCGGGGGAGCUGCAGGGUCCGGGGAAAGGAUGCGGGGUGUCCCCUGCGGGGGAGAUGCGGGGUGUACGCAGGGACCGGGGAGGAUGAGGGAUCCGGGGAUGCCGCGGGGGCUCGCAGGGCGGGGGUUCGAGGGGUCCCCGCCCGGGGGUCCCCCACUCACCGCGCGCCCCGCGGGGCCGCGCCCGCGCCCCCGCCCCGCAGCCGCCGCAGCGCCGCGCUCCCGCCGCGCGCUCCCGCCGCCAUCUUCCGCACCGGGACGGGGCCGCGCGCGGCGCGUGCCCACCGGGCCCCGCCCCCUCGGCCCGGCCACGCCCCCUCAGAAGCUGGCCUGCAGCAGCGUGAUUCUGAUUGGCCGCCCGCCCACACCUUCGAGCGCCCGGCCACGCCCACCCGCCCCCGCCCACCGCCACCGCGACGCCUCAUUGGACGGCGGCGCGGGGGCGGUGCCCGCGGGCCCGGCGGCGCUCGAAAGCCAAUCAGAAGAGGCGGCUGGAGGGGCCGGUGGCUGAUCGGUCCCGCUGGCUCGCUCCGGCGGGGGCUGCGGCGCAGCUCCAGGGGGGCGGGGCUUCUUCGGGCUCCUCCCUGA